UCGAUGGGGGGACGCAGUAGGAUAGGCGAAGCGUGCGAUUGGAUUGCACGUCUAAGCAGUAAGGCUGAGUAUUAGGCAAAUCCGGUACUCGUUAAGGCUGAGCUGUGAUGGGGAGAAGACAUUGUGUCUUCGAGUCGUUGAUUUCACACUGCCGAGAAAAGCCUCUAGAUAGAAAAUAGGUGCCCGUACCGCAAACCGACACAGGUAGUCAAGAUGAGAAUUCUAAGGUGAGCGAGCGAACUCUCGUUAAGGAACUCGGCAAAAUGACCCCGUAACUUCGGGAGAAGGGGUGCUCUUUAGGGUUAACGCCCAGAAGAGCCGCAGUGAAUAGGCCCAAGCGACUGUUUAUCAAAAACACAGGUCUCUGCUAAACCGUAAGGUGAUGUAUAGGGGCUGACGCCUGCCCGGUGCUGGAAGGUUAAGAGGAGUGGUUAGCUUCUGCGAAGCUACGAAUCGAAGCCCCAGUAAACGGCGGCCGUAACU
rnacentral:rRNA from 1 species